rnacentral:rRNA from 1 species
GCGUUGAAAAGCUCGGGGAUGACUUGUGGGUAGCGGUGAAAUUCCAAUCGAGCCCGGAGAUAGCUGGUUCUCCCCGAAAUAGCUUUAGGGCUAGCCUCAAGGUGAGAGAUACGGAGGUAGAGCACUGAAUGUCCUAGGGGGUAUUGCACCUACCGAAGACUAUCAAACUCCGAAUGCCGUCAUCUUAUACUUGGGAGUCAGACUGUGGGUGAUAAGAUUCAUAGUCGAAAGGGCAACAGCCCAGAUCGUCAGCUAAGGUCCCUAAAUGUAAGUUAAGUGGUAAAGGAUGUGGGAUUGCACAGACAACCAGGAUGUUGGCUUAGAAGCAGCCACUCAUUCAAAGAGUGCGUAAUAGCUCACUGGUCGAGUGAUCCUGCGCCGAAGAUUUCCGGGGCUAAAACUUACUACCGAAGCUACGGCAUCAGUAAUGAUGGGUAGGGGAGCUUCCCAUACGGGUUGAAGCAUGACCGUAAGGACAUGUGGACAGUAUGGGAGUG